rnacentral:tRNA from 2 species
GCGCCCAUGGUGAAAUGGAUAUCACGACAGCCUCCGGAGCUGUAAGUCUAGGUUCGAUUCCUAGUGGGCGCA